ensembl:lncRNA
CUCGUACAGUGAAAUACCAGCCAUGGAAUAAAACACUUCUCUGCUUUUGCCCACUGGUCACUCGGGUUGAGCUGGUACACCUCCAGGGUGAGCAGGCAGCUCAGCAGCACAACAGCUCAGGGAGCUGAACUUCUUCAUCUCACUAUUUUUGGCAAACCAUUUCUUUCCCUGCAGACGCAUUUUGUUCAAACACUUUUUGCAUGCACUCAGCUGCGGUUCUACAAGCACCAGACAACAGGCUGUGAAGGCAGGAUUGGGGUUUCCGAUGCUGGAGGUGUCUGCACAGCACUCAGGCACACAGCUGUGCUCCCUCACACACUGCCACCCCACCCCAAAACGAGUCCCUCGGGUGAAGUCAGCACAUCUCUCUCCUGGGAGAAAGCCAACCUUCUUGCCAAACAAGUGAGAAUCCCCACAGCUCUCUGGAACCUGCAGGGCAGGAGGAGCUGCUGCCGCCUGCGGUGUAGUGGGGGAACUGGGGCAGUUGGGCAUGGACAGGAUCCAGUCACCAGGAGGCUGCAGCUCAUCACUUUUUGGGCCCGUAUUAACCACACGCAGAGCAAAAUGGGCACAUUUCUCAUCCACAGCUUCACUCAUCCCUGUUUCCCAGGCGGUUGCUCUCCACGGAGGCCACCUUACUGCAUUCAUUUGGGAGAUGAAGGAAUCCAGCCAUCGAUCCCUUUCACCAAGACUGUUCCAACUGACGUUACAAUUUCUGGAUUUCUUCCCUCCUUUUCCAAGUUCCACACUGCUCAGCUCUGUGGCCAAAGCAGCUCCAGAAGUCCCUGGAUGAAACAGGAGAGGUUCUCCUGGCUCAGCGCCCUGCUGGAGGCUCAGUGAACCCUGCUUGGCUCUCGGGUGGGUGAUGGAUGCCCAAGAAGGGUCAAAGGGGUUUGGUUACAACGGCGUAACGCACGUCUCCAGGAAGUGCAUUAGUUUGGUUUAAAAGGCUGAGAUCAGCGGAGCGAGGCAGGGCUUUCCUCAAACACGCCUGAUCCACGCAAAUGAAGAAAGCUGGCAGCUAUUUUGGCUCGGGAAGCCUGACCACUGAAAGGCGACAGCCCUUGGCCACGUUCCCACCAUGAGGACAGAGAAGAGAAGAACGACACCUCACCUGUGGCUUGGGGGUUUGUGUUUCAUGCACGUAUUAUUCAUUAUGACAGAAUCCGAAUUCCUACACAACAUCCUGAAUCAGAGCGUAAACUGAUGUAAGCACCUGCUCACAAAUGGGGUGUCUCCACUGCUGGGCUCCUCGGCAGAGGCUCCUUAAAGAGCACGGCCUGCUUUCUGCUUUCAGAACGGAGACUUCAUCAACAGUGCCUUAAAUCCAAACCCAGCCCCCAAAUCGAGUAGAUGGAGAUUUUCUGGAGAACCUGGUCACAGCUUUCCUUUAAGUGAUAUUUAACACCACGCUUGGGGUGGCGAAGACGCGUUUAAGAAAGUGUUUUCUAAUAAAAUGUCUCCGAGCGCGGGGAUUAGACAUAAUCCAAUUGCUUUAUCAAAUAAAGAUGCCAUCAUGGCCUUUGAAAUACAAAGGCAGACGUUUCCCAUCAUCUAUCACAGAGCAAUCACGACCGGCACCGCUGCCACCUCCACCGCAGCACGAGGAGAGCUCGGCCGCUGCUGCCCACCAUCCCACUGUGCUGCCCACCGUCCCACUGUGCUGCCCACCGUCCCACUGUGCCUGCUGGAGGGGCAUUGAGCCCUGCCAUUUUGAUUUUCCAUCUGCACUGCAUCAAAGGCAACGACCCCUGUCAAUCCCGAGACACAACCCAUGUGGAAGCGCAGGAAAUACCCUGCUUCGCUGCAGAUUUGGCUGUGACAAAUGUAAUGCUUUCUUUAGGGUUCUGUUUGUUUAAUUAAAUUUUACGCACGGAUAAAACGUUUUGUGAAAUUUCCACUGUGGGGUGUUGUAAUUAAAACUGGCGAACUCGAUACAGGCAACUAUUGUAAAGCUGUCUUUGUCUGUGGGUUGAAUGCCAGCAGUGACGCUGAGCUCUGCAGCCGGAGCUCAGUUUGGAUGUGAGCGCAGCCCGGAGCAGCGCUGCCUGCUUGGAGGGGAGCUGCACUGCUGGGGAACCCGCAUGGCUCUGCUCUAAAGAAAGGCCAAAACGGAAAGGCAAACCUGGGCAAAAACGGCUCUGAACUCUGUGAGGUCACCAACUUCCCUUUGAUGCUCAGGAUCUGCCAUGGUUUUCAAAGUGAUCCAAUCUGCCACUGACUGUCGUUGUCCUGUGGGUUGCUGUAAGAAGGUUUCUGGCUCUCGUUACUGCUCGAGAAAUGACCUGGAAAGGGCAUUUUGGGGGUCCUGCUAACGAACGUGCCAUGCUAUCCCACCAGAACCAAUGACAAGAACAAUCACAGGGACAGACUGAGGCCACGAGACAUUGCAAUAGGCGUUGCAUUCAUUUUUAAGAUGAAAUUUCUUGUGAAACAGAAACCUGGCGUUGGAGCUCUGGGUUUGGAUUCCAUGGUUUCCCAAGGAACAAAUGUUGCAGGGACAGACGGCCGUGGCAGCUCUGCCUGCCCAGCCCCACUGCUGCACCCAGGGGCAGAGCUGCCCCACGGCAGGCACCAAGCACAGCUUAGACCCUAAUUCUAUACAACCAGCCUCCCUUCCAUUCAAAAUUGAUUUUUCCUCCAAGUCUUUGUGCAAGCCCAUGAAUCAGCCCAUGCACGAUAGGAGAACGAGAAAUAAAAUUAGAACACAUUUUUAUGAUACUGUUUCUAGAGCUGGCAGCAAAACCUCGGCGAGUCACCAACGCUCAACAGAGAAAACGCUUUCCCGUGAAUUCUGCUCCACCCUUUGGUAGCACAGAUCAUGCAAAGAAACCCCGUGAGGGUUCCUUGCUGGAAACCAUGGUGCCCAAAUGGGUGCAAAGCUUUCCCUCAUCCCGCAUCCCCACAGCUCUCUGCCAUUUCAGCUGGACAAGCCGGAGCCUGCAGCCAGCAGCCCAAGCGGCUGGGCUGCGCACCACCUGUUUGAGCUGCCAAGUUAUGUGGGAAAGCGUAUCAAUUAACGACCGUGAUUAUCUCAUCAUGCCUCACAUCUGACCAAACACUCCUGGCCUGGACUAAUCCCCUCGGAAAGCCGUGAGCCGGGUGCAGCAGUGAGCACCGCCUGCACCUCUUCGCCUCUGCGCUUCGGAGCGCUCGUGGCCAAGCAGUUUCACUCUGCAGACAGCAGGUAUUUGGGUUCAAUUCCCAGGAGCCUCCCAUGUUCCUUUCUAGCUUAAAAAGCUGGGACGGCGGCCAGGAAAAAGGACCUUGUGUGACCUGCACUCAACCUCGGAGGAAAGUUACACAAACUCUUUCACGCUUCGCUUGGACCGCUGCGUAGGAGUUGGCCAAAACAAUACUUUCCCUUGUGUUUGCCUACCUUAUUAAAUAUCAAUUAAUAUUUAUGGCAGUUUAUAAACAGUGCAGCUUUGGUUUCAAGGGUGCUUAGAAAUCUGAUCUCCUCCCUCCCCCCCCCCCCCCCCCCCCCCCCCCCCCCCCCCCCCCCCGGGAGCAUUUCUCCUGCUCAGGGCUGCGUGGUGGGAGCACAGCAUCCCAUGGGCAGCACUGUCCCAUCAUUGCUGUGCAGAGGACCAAACCAGAGGAGGUGCAGAAGCACUGCCAGUCUGUUCUGCCUCUUUCCUCCCCUCCUCUAUUGACACAGUACUUUGUUUUAAAUUAUGUUGAAUUUAAAGGAUUUUUCUGUACCCUUAUUUCCCAGGAAGAGGCUUUCUACAAGGCUCCUGUUGAUUAAUUGGUGCUGGGCUCCUGCCAAACAAGGGAAGUUUCACAUGUAAAGAGGAAAUGUGCAUCUCUCUGCCUGCCCAUGCCUUCUCCAGCCUGUCCUACAAGCACACAUCCUGCUGCCAGCAUCCCCCCAUCACACAGACCAACACCAAGGCUCCCAUGGCCAAGGCUUCCCACCCGAGCCCUGCACUGCUCUUUGCCAUGCAGCAAAAGCCGCCUGCAACAGCCGAGCGCAGGGAAAUGACUCCCGCUCCUGCCUCCACUCCUCUGCUUGUUUUUACUGGAUAAAUCAACAGAGCACAGAUCUUCAUUGCCCUAUUUUUCACAGUCCCUUUUAAAUUUACUCUGUUAUUCGUAGGGACUCGGGAUACUUGCAGUUUAAUAAUAUUAAAAAGCAGGGAUUUCUUUUUGCCUGCCCUUGGCUUAUCCUUCAUACGACGCCAAGUACUGCGGUACACUACAGUAGCACUUGCCGCUGCUACAGCGGUAGCUAUAAAAUAUUAUAGAGCUUGGUUUCAUUUUAUCUUCCCAACACAGAGCACAGCCAGCACCGCCAACGCUGUGCAGCC